AUACGGAGGGUGCGAGCGUUAAUCGGAAUUACUGGGCGUAAAGCGCGCGUAGGCGGUUUGGUCAGUCGGAUGUGAAAGCCCUAGGCUCAACCUGGGAAUGGCAUUCGAUACUGCCUGACUAGAGUAUGGUAGAGGGAAGUGGAAUUUCCGGUGUAGCGGUGAAAUGCGUAGAUAUCGGAAGGAACACCAGUGGCGAAGGCGACUUCCUGGGCCAAUACUGACGCUGAGGUGCGAAAGCGUGGGGAGCAAACAGGAUUAGAAACCCGAGUAGUCC
rnacentral:rRNA from 1 species